AGAGUUUGAUCCUGGCUCAGGACGAACGCUGGCGGCGCGCCUAACACAUGCAAGUCGAACGAGCGAGAGAGAGCUUGCUUUCUUGAGCGAGUGGCGAACGGGUGAGUAACGCGUGAGGAACCUGCCUCAAAGAGGGGGACAACAGUUGGAAACGACUGCUAAUACCGCAUAAGCCCACGGCUCGGCAUCGAGCAGAGGGAAAAGGAGCAAUCCGCUUUGAGAUGGCCUCGCGUCCGAUUAGCUAGUUGGUGAGGUAACGGCCCACCAAGGCGACGAUCGGUAGCCGGACUGAGAGGUUGAACGGCCACAUUGGGACUGAGACACGGCCCAGACUCCUACGGGAGGCAGCAGUGGGGAAUAUUGCACAAUGGGGGAAACCCUGAUGCAGCGACGCCGCGUGGAGGAAGAAGGUCUUCGGACUGUAAACUCCUGUUGUUGAGGAAGAUAAUGACGGUACUCAACAAGGAAGUGACGGCUAACUACGUGCCAGCAGCCGCGGUAAAACGUAGGUCACAAGCGUUGUCCGGAAUUACUGGGUGUAAAGGGAGCGCAGGCGGGAAGACAAGUUGGAAGUGAAAUCCAUGGGCUCAACCCAUGAACUGCUUUCAAAACUGUUUUUCUUGAGUAGUGCAGAGGUAGGCGGAAUUCCCGGUGUAGCGGUGGAAUGCGUAGAUAUCGGGAGGAACACCAGUGGCGAAGGCGGCCUACUGGGCACCAACUGACGCUGAGGCUCGAAAGUGUGGGUAGCAAACAGGAUUAGAUACCCUGGUAGUCCACACUGUAAACGAUGAUUACUAGGUGUUGGAGGAUUGACCCCUUCAGUGCCGCAGUUAACACAAUAAGUAAUCCACCUGGGGAGUACGACCGCAAGGUUGAAACUCAAAGGAAUUGACGGGGGCCCGCACAAGCAGUGGAGUAUGUGGUUUAAUUCGACGCAACGCGAAGAACCUUACCAAGUCUUGACAUCCCUUGACGAUGCUGGAAACAGUAUUUCUCUUCGGAGCAAGGAGACAGGUGGUGCAUGGUUGUCGUCAGCUCGUGUCGUGAGAUGUUGGGUUAAGUCCCGCAACGAGCGCAACCCUUAUGGUCAGUUACUACGCAAGAGGACUCUGGCCAGACUGCCGUUGACAAAACGGAGGAAGGUGGGGAUGACGUCAAAUCAUCAUGCCCUUUAUGACUUGGGCUACACACGUACUACAAUGGCGUUAAACAAAGAGAAGCAAGACCGCGAGGUGGAGCAAAACUCAGAAACAACGUCCCAGUUCGGACUGCAGGCUGCAACUCGCCUGCAUGAAGUCGGAAUUGCUAGUAAUCGCAGAUCAGCAUGCUGCGGUGAAUACGUUCCCGGGCCUUGUACACACCGCCCGUCACAC
rnacentral:rRNA from 1 species